rnacentral:misc_RNA from 1 species
GAUGAAGAACGCAGCGAAAUGCGAUAAGUAAUGUGAAUUGCAGAAUUCAGUGAAUCAUCGAAUCUUUGAACGCACCUUGCGCUCCUUGGUAUUCCAAGGAGCAUGCCUGUUUGAGUAUCAUUAAAUUAUCAACUGUGCCAAUUUGGUUACAGAUUGUAUGUGGGAGAUUCUUUUUGCAGGCCUUUGACUUCUCUUUGAGAAAAAAAAUAAAAGGUCGGCUCUCCUGAAAUGUAUUAGCAGUGCCUUUGUUGGUUCAUUAGGUGUGAUAAAUUGUCUACAUCUUCGCAUGAUACCUUCAUUUGUAAAGGUCAUAUUGCUUCUAAAUUGUCUUUGAUUGGACGCAAAACAUAUAUAAUGUUUGACAAACUUGAUCUCAAAUCAGGCAGGACUACCCGCUGAACUUAAGCAUAUCAAUAAGCGGAGGA